rnacentral:misc_RNA from 1 species
GAUGAAGAACGCAGCGAAAUGCGAUACGUAAUGUGAAUUGCAGAAUUCAGUGAAUCAUCGAAUCUUUGAACGCAUAUUGCGCUCUCUGGUAUUCCGGAGAGCAUGCUUGUUUGAGUAUCAGUAAACACCUCAACUUCCAUAUCUUUUUUGAAAUGGGAGUUGGACUUGAGUGAUCCCAACGCUUUUCCUCACCGAAAAGUGGCGGGUUACUUGAAAUGCAGGUGCAGCUGGACUUUUCUCUGAGCUAUAAGCAUAUCUAUUUAGUCUGCCUAAAAAACAGAUUAUUACCUUUGCUGCAGCUAACAUAAAGGAGAUUAGUUCUUGUGCUGACUGAUGCAGGAUUCACAAAGACAGGCUUCGGCCGACUUUGUAAACUCGAUCUCAAAUCAAGUAAGACUACACGCUGAACUUAAGCAUAUCAAUAAGCGGAGGA